GUGAAGUGGUAGCUCCUCUCUUACUCUUCAUUUUCCAGUGGUUUAAAUAACGGACUCCUCGGGCCAGAAACAAUUCAGAUGAGCAAACCCAGGCCUGCGCCCAGCGUGGGGAUACGCCCCGGGUGGCCGUGGGUGAAGGUGCAGGCCGUCCCCACAGCCGGCCUUUCAGAGCCCGAUCCUCCCGGCAAAGGCUCAGCCGCGUUUUCACUAGAGCAUUUUUGUGGAGGGUGGUAACCUCGCUUGGAGAUUUCGCCAGGGCGUGACUGUCGCUGCUCCUUGCUCCCCC